CGGCGUAACCUCUCCGCCGUCGCUGGCCAAAAACCCCUCAUCGCCGGUGGAGACUCUCGACUCUGACUUCGUAGCGAUCCUCGCAGCUCUCCUCUGUGCCCUAAUCUGCGUGCUAGGCCUCGUUGCUGCCGCACGCUGCGCAUGGAUACGCUCGCAUUGCCAACGACACCGCGACGAUCGGCCGCCAACAAAGGUCUGAAGAAAAAGGUGCUGAAGUCACUUCCGAAGCUGACCUACGGCGA
rnacentral:lncRNA from 1 species